rnacentral:rRNA from 1 species
GUGGGGAAUAUUGGACAAUGGGCGAAAGCCUGAUCCAGCCAUGCCGCGUGGGUGAAGAAGGCCUUCGGGUUGUAAAGCCCUUUUGUUGGGAAAGAAAAGCAGCCGGUUAAUACCCGGUUGUUCUGACGGUACCCAAAGAAUAAGCACCGGCUAACUUCGUGCCAGCAGCCGCGGUAAUACGAAGGGUGCAAGCGUUACUCGGAAUUACUGGGCGUAAAGCGUGCGUAGGUGGUUGUUUAAGUCUGUCGUGAAAGCCCUGGGCUCAACCUGGGAAUGGCGAUGGAAACUGGGUGACUAGAGUGUGGCAGAGGGUAGUGGAAUUCCUGGUGUAGCAGUGAAAUGCGUAGAGAUCAGGAGGAACAUCCGUGGCGAAGGCGACUGCCUGGGCCAACACUGACACUGAGGCACGAAAGCGUGGGGAGCAAACAGGAUUAGAAACCCGAGUAGUCC